rnacentral:rRNA from 1 species
AGAAUGAACGCUGGCGGCGUGCUCUACACAUGCAAGUUGAGCGAGGCCACCCGCAAGGGUGAGUCGAGCGGCGAACGGGUGAGUAACGCGUGGAUGACCUGCCCUUUAGUGGGGAAUAACCCGGGGAAACUCGGGCUAAUACCGCAUAAAGACCGAGAGGUGAAAGCGGGUCGCAAG